rnacentral:tRNA from 1 species
GAAAAUCCGUCGACUUUAGAAAUCGUGAGG